UACGUAGGGAGCAAGCGUUGUUCGGAUUUACUGGGCGUAAAGCGCACGUAGGCGGCUUUCUAAGUCAGGGGUGAAAUCCUGGAGCUCAACUCCAGAACUGCCUUUGAUACUGGAGAGCUUGAGUCCGGAAGAGGUGAGUGGAACUCCGAGUGUAGAGGUGAAAUUCGUAGAUAUUCGGAAGAACACCAGUGGCGAAGGCGGCUCACUGGUCCGGUACUGACGCUGAGGUGCGAAAGCGUGGGGAGCAAACAGG
rnacentral:rRNA from 1 species